rnacentral:rRNA from 1 species
CGCUGUUUGCGAUAUCAGUAAGCGGCCAAGCGAAAGCAUUAAGUAUUCCACCUGGGGAGUACGCCGGCAACGGUGAAACUCAAAGGAAUUGACGGGGGCCCGCACAAGCGGAGGAACAUGUGGUUUAAUUCGAUGAUACGCGAGGAACCUUACCCGGGCUUAAAUUGCAAAUGAAUAUGUAGGAAACUAUAUAGCCGCAAGGCAUUUGUGAAGGUGCUGCAUGGUUGUCGUCAGCUCGUGCCGUGAGGUGUCGGCUUAAGUGCCAUAACGAGCGCAACCCUUAUCUUUAGUUACUAACAGGUCACGCUGAGGACUCUAGAGAGACUGCCGUCGUAAGAUGUGAGGAAGGUGGGGAUGACGUCAAAUCAGCACGGCCCUUACGUCCGGGGCUACACACGUGUUACAAUGGGGGGUACAGAAGGCAGCUACACGGCGACGUGAUGCUAAUCCCAAAAACCUCUCUCAGUUCGGAUCGAAGUCUGCAACCCGACUUCGUGAAGCUGGAUUCGCUAGUAAUCGCGCAUCAGCCAUGGCGCGGUGAAUACGUUCCCGGGCCUUGUACACACCGCCCGUCAAGCCAUGAAGGCCGGGGGUACCUGAAGUACGUAACCGCAAGGAGCGUCCUAGGGUAAAACUGGUAAUUGGGGCUAAGUCGUAACAA